CCAGACCGCCAGCUAAGGUCCCAAAGUCAUGGUUAAGUGGGAAACGAUGUGGGAAGGCCCAGACAGCCAGGAUGUUGGCUUAGAAGCAGCCAUCAUUUAAAGAAAGCGUAAUAGCUCACUGGUCGAGUCGGCCUGCGCGGAAGAUGUAACGGGGCUAAACCAUGCACCGAAGCUGCGGCAGCGACACUGUGUGUUGUUGGGUAGGGGAGCGUUCUGUAAGCCUGUGAAGGUGUGUCGUGAGGCAUGCUGGAGGUAUCAGAAGUGCGAAUGCUGACAUAAGUAACGAUAAAGCGGGUGAAAAGCCCGCUCGCCGGAAGACCAAGGGUUCCUGUCCAACGUUAAUCGGGGCAGGGUGAGUCGACCCCUAAGGCGAGGCCGAAAGGCGUAGUCGAUGGGAAACGGGUUAAUAUUCCCGUACUUGGUGUUACUGCGAAGGGGGGACGGAGAAGGCUAUGUUGGCCGGGCGACGGUUGUCCCGGUUUAAGCGUGUAGGUGUGUGUUCCAGGUAAAUCCGGUUCACUUUAACACUGAGGCGUGACGACGAGGCACUACGGUGCUGAAGCAACAAAUGCCCUGCUUCCAGGAAAA
rnacentral:rRNA from 2 species